rnacentral:rRNA from 1 species
AACGAACGCUGGCGGCAUGCCUAACACAUGCAAGUCGAACGAGACCUUCGGGUCUAGUGGCGCACGGGUGCGUAACGCGUGGGAACCUGCCCUUAGGUUCGGAAUAACUCAGAGAAAUUUGAGCUAAUACCGGAUAAUGUCUUCGGACCAAAGAUUUAUCGCCUUUGGAUGGGCCCGCGUAGGAUUAGCUUGUUGGUGGGGUAAUGGCCUACCAAGGCGACGAUCCUUAGCUGGUCUGAGAGGAUGAUCAGCCACACUGGGACUGAGACACGGCCCAGACUCCUACGGGAGGCAGCAGUGGGGAAUAUUGGACAAUGGGCGAAAGCCUGACCCAGCAAUGCCGCGUGAGUGAUGAAGGCCUUAGGGUUGUAAAGCUCUUUUACCAGGGAUGAUAAUGACAGUACCUGGAGAAUAAGCUCCGGCUAACUCCGUGCCAGCCGCCGCGGUAACAC